rnacentral:rRNA from 1 species
CAGUCGCCGCGGGAAUACGAAGGGUGCAAGCGUUACUCGGAAUUACUGGGCGUAAAGCGUGCGUAGGUGGUGGUUUAAGUCUGCUGUGAAAGCCCUGGGCUCAACCUGGGAAUUGCAGUGGAUACUGGAUCACUAGAGUGUGGUAGAGGGAUGCGGAAUUUCUGGUGUAGCAGUGAAAUGCGUAGAGAUCAGAAGGAACAUCCGUGGCGAAGGCGGCAUCCUGGGCCGACACUGACACUGAGGCACGAAAGUGUGGGGAGCAAACAGGAUUAGAUACCCCCGUAGUCCCUGUCUCUUAUAA